rnacentral:rRNA from 1 species
CCUACGGGGGGCAGCAGUGGGGAAUAUUGGACAAUGGGGGCAACCCUGAUCCAGCCAUGCCGCGUGUGUGAAGAAGGCCCUCGGGUUGUAAAGCACUUUCAGUGAGGAAGAACGCCUGGUGGUUAAUACCCAUCAGGAAAGACAUCACUCACAGAAGAAGCACCGGCUAACUCCGUGCCAGCAGCCGCGGUAAUACGGAGGGUGCGAGUGUUAAUCGGAAUUACUGGGCGUAAAGCGCGCGUAGGUGGCUUGAUAAGCCGGUUGUGAAAGCCCCGGGCUCAACCUGGGAACGGCAUCCGGAACUGUCAAGCUAGAGUGCAGGAGAGGAAGGUAGAAUUCCCGGUGUAGCGGUGAAAUGCGUAGAGAUCGGGAGGAAUACCAGUGGCGAAGGCGGCCUUCUGGACUGACACUGACACUGAGGUGCGAAAGCGUGGGUAGCAAACAGGAUUAGAUACCCUAGUAGUC